GUCAACGGGCCUUGCUACCCUGAACAAGCCUGAUCUCAUCUGAUCUCGGAAGCUAAGCAGGGUUGGGCCUGGUUAGUAUUUGGAUGGGAGACCACCUAGGAAGACUGGUGCUAUAGGCA
rnacentral:rRNA from 1 species